rnacentral:tRNA from 1 species
GGGAAUGGCAGGGUCCCGGUGGGUCCCCCGAUCUUCAAAAUCGGUGACGGGCUGUUAGGCAGGUCGUGGUGGGUUCGACUCCCAUCCAUUCCCG